GUUUGAUCCUGGCUCAGAACGAACGCUGGCGGCGCGUCUUAAGCAUGCAAGUCGAACGGCAAGGCAGGUGCUUGCACCUGCCCUAGAGUGGCGGACUGGUGAGUAACACGUGGGUGACAUGCCUUUUAGUUGGGGAUAGCUACUAGAAAUAGUAGAUAAUACCGAAUGUGAUCAAUAUUUAUAGAUGAUGUUGAGGAAAGGAGCUAAGGCUUCGCUAAAAGAUUGGCCCGCGGCCCAUUAGCUAGUUGGUAGGGUAAAGGCUUACCAAGGCGAUGAUGGGUAGCCGGCCUGAGAGGGUGAACGGCCACACUGGGACUGAGAUACGGCCCACACUCCUACGGGAGGCAGCAGCUAAGAAUAUUCCGCAAUGGACGAAAGUCUGACGGAGCGACGCCGCGUGGAUGAUGAAGGCCGGAAGGUUGUAAAAUCCUUUUGUCAACGAAGAAUAAGCGGAGGAGGGAAUGCCUUCGUGAUGACGUUAGUUGACGAAUAAGCCCCGGCUAAUUACGUGCCAGCAGCCGCGGUAACACGUAAGGGGCGAGCGUUGUUCGGAAUUAUUGGGCGUAAAGGGCGCGUAGGCGGUUUUGCCAGCCUGAUGUGAAAGCCUGGGGCUUAACCCUGGAAUUGCAUUGGGAACUGCAAGACUUGAAUCAUGGAAGGGAAAUCAGAAUUCCAGGUGUAGGGGUGAAAUCUGUAGAUAUCUGGAAGAAUACCGGUGGCGAAGGCGGAUUUCUGGCCAAUGAUUGACGCUGAGGCGCGAAAGUGCGGGGAGCAAACAGGAUUAGAUACCCUGGUAGUCCGCACUAUAA
rnacentral:rRNA from 1 species